GGAUAGCAGGCUGAGGAGUUCAGACUUCGCCCUCUGUGAAAGAGGGAGCAUUGAAUGUUUUUAAAGCAGAAGGAGUGCUGUCAGGACGGAGGCAGCACAGAGCGAGGAGGCCAGCUGGGAGGCUACUGCAAGAGUCCGGGGGAGAGGAGAUGAGGCCCUGAACCAUGGUGACUGAAUUCCUAGGGUUCCUAGUCAUUCCUCAUUCUUCCCAGAUGCUUCAGUGAAGGGGGAGACAAAGACUAGAGAAGGAAGCCAGACCAACGUGGGGUAGGUUUCACCCUGUUUCUUGGAAGAUUCCUCCCUUCUGAGUCAGAGCAACAUCUUUAUACAUACACGGGAGCUGUGGGCUGAGGAAGCUAAUUCACCUUAAAAAUAAGAAAGGUUGCAACCCACAAUUUGAAAAUCACUGGAGACAUGGGAUCACGUUAGGAGGUGCCAUCCUUGGAGGAAUGAGCAUCUGUGUGAGCAUGUGUGUGUGUGUAUGUGUACAAACACACUUGUUCUCUAAAGGUUGUCAUGUCACAGAUAUCUUCUGAGUAUCUGCUUUGAUCCUGAUCCCCUUUUCUGACAAUGCCUUUUUCCAUGCAUGGGGUGGGACCUGUUUCCUUGGUCAUAGCCACUUGGACCAGGGUUGGACCUGAAGCCAGUUGGAUUAUGGCUUCUGAGAGAGGACUCUGUGGCUCUUAAUAAUGACUCCUUCACCACCUAAGCUAAUUCAAGAGGGUUUCUAAACUUACGACCAAAACAUCUCUCAUUGUAUAAGCAUAGAAAACGUAAUGUACUAAGUUUGAGAUACAACUUUUAAAUUCAUUACAUUGCCUUAUUAAAUAUACUAUUUGAAUUUUCCAUUUCAGGGGUUGGCAAACUAUGGCCCAAGAGCCAAGUCCAGCCUAUGGCUUGGUUUUAUAUAGCCCACCAAUUAAGAAUGAUAUUUACAUUUUUAAAGGGCUGUGAAAAAAACAAAGUAGAACAUGAGACUGUGUGUGCCCCACAAUGCCUAAAAUAUGUACUAUUUCCCUCUUCACAGAAAAAGUUUGCCAACUCCUGCUCUAUAUCCCUGACAUUUCUUGUCUAUUUGAUCUGUCAAAUAUUCAGAGGUAUAUUAAACACACUCCUAUUAAGUUUUUGCUUUACACAUUUUGAUGCUCUACUCUUCAACACAUAAAAGUUUGUGAAAAGCAUAUCUUCCACAUCUCAUCAUUUUACAAAACAUAAAGUCAUGUGCCACAUAAUGGUGUUGUGAUCAACAGCAGACUGCAUAUAUGACGGUGGUCCCAGAAGAUUGGUACCAUACAGCCUAGGCAUGUGGUAGGCUAUACCAUCUAGGUUUCUAUAAGUACUGCAGAGGAGGAAGAAAUUUCCCUUACCCUUCUAGGUUCUUCUGGCUGGCCUAAGGAUUAAAUUGACAUGAGACAGAUUAACAGGAGAAAAACAAACAAAAGUUUAAUAGCAUGUGUACCUGGGAGAAACCCAGGAAAACCAAGUAACUUGACAAAAUGGCCGAAGCCCUCACCUUAAAUACUCCCCUCAGCUAAAGACAAAAGAAGAUGGUGGUGGUGGGGAGGGUCAGGGACUUCAGAGGGGAAGAAGGCAAUUCAUAGGCAGGUGAAAAGAAGCAAACAUUUGAAAAACAAGUGUUGGUUUGGCCACACAGAAAAGAACAGAGGGGAGCCCAACAAACAGGUUUUUCUAGGUCCCUCUCUGUCCGUCAUCUAGUUCACGUUAUGCUAAGGUGAUAGCUCACUUCCUGAGAAUUUUAUCUGAAUUCUUUUAAGAAGUUAAGGAGGAGGUAACAAGAACAAGUUUGUGAGUCUUUUGUUUCUUAAAAAUAAUCAGCCUAAAAUAAUCCUCAUGUUAAAGAGGCACAUUUUGGAGUGGCAAAUUUUGUUCCUGUUCAGUACACUCCAUGAUGUUUGCACGAGGACGAAAUCACCUAAUGAUGCAUUUCUCAGAAUGUGUCCCCAUCAUUAAGUGAUGUGUGACUGUAUCGUAAUUCUUGCUGUAGGUUUUGUUUGCAGUAGCCUGAUAUGUUUGCUCAUCCUUUAUCUUAACACUCUUUUGACAAAAUUGUUUUAAGCUGCUUCUUACAAGAAAUAUAGAUUGGUCUUGUUUUUUACUCAAUCUGAAAAUCUUCGGCUUAUAAGAGAGAAUGUAAUAGCUAGAGUAAAGCAUUUAUUGCUAUAAUUUGUUUGAAGCUAGUUCCAUUAUCUUGUUUCUUGCUUUCAGUCAAAGUUCGGACUGAAAUAGUGUAUGCCCUAGGAUGCUUUUGCCUACGAGUGAUAACCUACUCUUUCCUAAACAACUAAGAAAGUUAUCAUCUCAUCAAUAUAUACCAUAUUCUGGGCCACAAAACAAACUUUAACAAAUUUUCAAAAAUUGAAAUCAUAUUAAAUAUGUUCCUUGACCAUAACAAAAUAAAACAAAAGUCAAUAAAAGAAAGAGACCUGAAAAAAAUCUCAAAAUAUUAAACAACACGUAUAUAACCUCUGGGUCAAAGAGGAAGUCUAAAGGAUAAGUAGAAAAUAUUUUGAACUGAAUUAAAAUAAAUAAUCAACAUGUCAAAAUUUGUAGAAUGCACCUAAAGCAAUUUAGGGGGAAUUUAUAGCACUAAACACUUAUAUCAGACAAGCAGAAAGGCCUCAAACAGUCUCAGUCAGUGUGGGCCGCUAUAAAAAAAUUACCACAGACCGGGCGGCUUGAACAACAAACAUUUAUUUCUCACUGUUCUGGAGGCUGGAAGUCUGAGAUCAGGGUGCCAGCACGGCUGGGCUCUUGGCAACGGCCCUCAGAGACAGAUUCCGUGUCCCCUCCUCUUUUUAUAAGGGCGUUAAUCGCAUCAUGAGGCCCCCACUCUCAUGACCUCAUCUAACCCUAAUCACCACCCCAAAGCCCCACCUCUAAAUAGCAUCACAUAGGGCUUCAGCAUAUGAAUCUGGGAGGGAACACAAACAUUCAAUCCAUAACACACAAUAAUGUAAACUUCCACCUUAUGAAAUAGAAAAAGAGCAAAUUAAACCCAAAGCAAGCAGAAAGAAGAAAAUAAAAAGAUAAGAGCUGAGAUUAAUACAAUUAGAAACAAAAGAGAAAACAAUAGAAAAAUCAAUGAAACCAAAAGCUAGUUCUUUGAUAAGAUUUAAAAAAAAAAAACUUUGAAAAACCUCUAGCCAGCUGACCAAGGAAAAAAAGAGAGAAGUCAUGAAUUGCCAUUAUCACUAUAGAACGUACAGCCAUUAGACAGAUAAUAGUGGAAAACUAAGAAAAAGUCUAUACCCAUAUAUUUGACAAUGUGGAUAAAAUCAAUCAAUUCCUUGAAAGACAAAAACUAAAACUCACUCAAGAAAAAAUAGAUGACCUGAAAUAGUCCUGUGUCUAUUGAAUACAUUACAUUUGUAGUAAAAUUAAAUUAAAACUUUCUCACAAAGAAAAUUUCAGACCCAAGUGAUUUCACCAGCAAAUUCUACCCAACACUUAAGGAAGAAAUAAUACCAAUUAUACACAACCUUUUCCAGAAAAUAGAAAAGGAGGGAGUUUUAUGAGGC
ensembl:lncRNA